rnacentral:rRNA from 1 species
CACUGCCGAGAAAAGCCUCUAGAUAGAAAAUAGGUGCCCGUACCGCAAACCGACACAGGUAGUCAAGAUGAGAAUUCUAAGGUGAGCGAGCGAACUCUCGUUAAGGAACUCGGCAAAAUGACCCCGUAACUUCGGGAGAAGGGGUGCUCUUUAGGGUUAACGCCCAGAAGAGCCGCAGUGAAUAGGCCCAAGCGACUGUUUAUCAAAAACACAGGUCUCUGCUAAACCGUAAGGUGAUGUAUAGGGGCUGACGCCUGCCCGGUGCUGGAAGGUUAAGAGGAGUGGUUAGCUUCUGCGAAGCUACGAAUCGAAGCCCCAGUAAACGGCGGCCGUAACUAUAACGGUCCUAAGGUAGCGAAAUUCCUUGUCGGGUAAGUUCCGACCCGCACGAAAGGCGUAACGAUUUGGGCACUGUCUCAACGAGAGACUCGGUGAAAUCAUAGUACCUGUGAAGAUGCAGGUUACCCGCGACAGGACGGAAAGACCCCGUGGAGCUUUACUGUAGCCUGAUAUUGAAAUUCGGCACAGCUUGUACAGGAUAGGUAGGAGCCUUUGAAACGUGAGCGCUAGCUUACGUGGAGGCGCUGGUGGGAUACUACCCUAGCUGUGUUGGCUUUCUAACCCGCACCACUUAUCGUGGUGGGAGACAGUGUCAGGCGGGCAGUUUGACUGGGGCGGUCGCCUCCUAAAAGGUAACGGAGGCGCUCAAAGGUUCCCUCAGAAUGGUUGGAAAUCAUUCAUAGAGUGUAAAGGCAUAAGGGAGCUUGACUGCGAGACCUACAAGUCGAGCAGGGUCGAAAGACGGACUUAGUGAUCCGGUGGUUCCGCAUGGAAGGGCCAUCGCUCAACGGAUAAAAGCUACCCCGGGGAUAACAGGCUUAUCUCCCCCAAGAGUUCACAUCGACGGGGAGGUUUGGCACCUCGAU